ACCAAAUAUUCACAUAAAUAAGAAAGAACCAGAACACAUAACUCCUAUCUGUAGGUCAGAUAGGGUACGACAUGUAUCUAUAAGGUAUGGGUUCAUUAUUGAGAAUAAUGAAGCCCAAGUCAUUGAGAAUGAUGAACCUUUGACCUAUACGGAAGCUGUCAUGAGUAAGGACUCAGACAAAUGGCAGGAUGCCAUGAAAUCUGAGAUG
rnacentral:lncRNA from 1 species